rnacentral:rRNA from 1 species
UAGGAUUAAGAUGCAACUAAGCUGUCAUAAGCCCAAGGUGUACUUAAGAUCACCUUUAAGAUGAUCCUAGUACUUCUGAUUGAUUUAACCCCACGAAAGCUAGGGCACAAACUGGGAUUAGAUACCCCACUAUGCCUAGCCCUAAAUCUCGAUGCUUGCCGUACCAAAGCAUCCGCCCGAGAACUACGAGCACAAACGCUUAAAACUCUAAGGACUUGGCGGUGCCCCAAACCCAUCUAGAGGAGCCUGUUCUAUAAUCGAUAACCCACGAUUCACCCGACCACCUCUCGCCAAAGCAGCCUACAUACCGCCGUCGCCAGCUCACCUUCCCUGAAAGCCCAAUAGUGAGCACAAUAGCCUAACCUGCUAGUAAGACAGGUCAAGGUAUAGCCCAUGAGGUGGAAGAAAUGGGCUACAUUUUCUACGAUAGAAAACCCACGAAAGGGGGCAUGAAACAGCCCCCGGAAGGCGGAUUUAGCAGUAAAGCGGGACAAUAAAGCCCUCUUUAAGUUGGCCCUGGGGCACGUACAUACCGCCCGUCACCCUCC